AAGGCAGGGAGAGAGGGAGGAGGUCAGGGAGCCCUGGGGUGGAGGGGGAACGCAGAGCAUCCCCUGUGCGGACGUCCCAUUCCGACCUCAGAGGGACAAUCCCAUGGGAUGCGGGGGAGAAACCACUCUCUUCUUCGGGAUUGCAUUGGGAACAACGGGUCGGGAAAUGCGUGGGUGCCCGCAGAGAGCCGGGCCUGCGUGGGGAGCACAAACCGGUCCCAGUUCCGCACUGGGAAGCAGCGGUGUGGAUGCGGAGGAAGAGUGGGGCACGGCAGGCCGAGGUCAGCAGGAUGUGGGGGGAUGGGGAGACACCCGUGUGGCACUGCUGGGGAUAAGAGGGACGUGAGUAUGGCACCAUGGGGAGAGGGGAGACAUCACUAUGGUGCCAUGGGAUUAGGGGAGACACCAGUACGGCACCAUGGGGAUAGGAGGGACAUGAGUAUGGCACCAUGGGGAUAGGGGAAACAUGAGUAUGGCAACAUGGGGAUAGGGGAGAUAUGAGUAUGGCACCAUGGGGAUAAGGGAGAUGUGAGUAUGGCAGCAUGGGGAUAGGGGAGACACCAGUAUGGCCCCAUGGGGAUAGGGGAGACAUGAGUAUGGCAUCAGAGGAAUAGGGGAGACACAAAUAUGGUGCCAUGGGGAUAGGAGGGACAUGAGUAUGGCACCAUGGGGAGAGGGGAGACACGAGUAUGGCACCACAGGGACAGGGGAGACAGCAGUACGGCAGCACGGGACCCAGGCCUGGCUCCUGGAAUGGGGCACCUCUCCUGGCACAAACGCCCACCGAUCCGAGCGCACAGCAGCC
rnacentral:lncRNA from 1 species